rnacentral:rRNA from 1 species
UACGGAGGGUGCAAGCGUUAUCCGGAUUCACUGGGUUUAAAGGGAGCGUAGGUGGGUUGGUAAGUCAGUGGUGAAAUCCCCGAGCUUAACUUGGGAACUGCCAUUGAUACUAUCAGUCUUGAAUACUGUGGAGGUUAGCGGAAUAUGUCAUGUAGCGGUGAAAUGCUUAGAUAUGAUAUAGAACACCAAUUGCGAAGGCAGGUUACUGAGCCAUUACUGACGCUGAGGCACGAAAGCGUGGGGAUCAAACAGG